GGUUCCGAUCAUACUAGCACUAAUACAUCAGAUCCCAUCUGAACUCCGUAGUUAAGCGUGUUUAGGCGAGAGUAGUACUAGAAUGGGUGACCGCUUGGAAAGUCCUCGUGUUGCAUCCU